UACGUAGGGACCAAGCGUUGUUCGGAUUUACUGGGCGUAAAGGGUUCGUAGGUGGCCAACUAAGUCAGACGUGAAAUCCCUCAGCUUAACUGGGGAACUGCGUCUGAUACUGGUCGGCUUGAGUGCAGGAGAGGAACGCGGAAUUCCAGGUGUAGCGGUGAAAUGCGUAGAUAUCUGGAGGAACACCGGUGGCGAAGGCGGCGUUCUGGACUGCAACUGACACUGAGGAACGAAAGCCAGGGGAGCAAACGGG
rnacentral:rRNA from 1 species